rnacentral:rRNA from 1 species
AGUGAACGCUGGCGGUAGGCCUAACACAUGCCAGUCGAACGGCAGCACAGUAAGAGCUUGCUCUUACGGGUGGCGGGUGGCGGACGGGUGAGGAAUACAUCGGAAUCUACUUUUUCGUGGGGGAUAACGUAGGGAAACUUACGCUAAUACCGCAUACGACCUACGGGUGAAAGCAGGGGAUCUUCGGACCUUGCGCGAUUGAAUGAGCCGAUGUCGGAUUAGCUAGUUGGCGGGGUAAAGGCCCACCAAGGCGACGAUCCGUAGCUGGUCUGAGAGGAUGAUCAGCCACACUGGAACUGAGACACGGUCCAGACUCCUACGGGAGGCAGCAGUGGGGAAUAUUGGACAAUGGGCGCAAGCCUGAUCCAGCCAUACCGCGUGGGUGAAGAAGGCCCUCGGGUUGUAAAGCCCUUUUGUUGGGAAAGAAAAGCAGCAGGUUAAUACCCCGCUGUUCUGACGGUACCCAAAGAAUAAGCACCGGCUAACUUCGUG